UGCCAGGUACCAGGCAUUUAUCAAUACUUUGGUAAAGUAUUGAACAUCUCUGAAACUCUGUUUUUCCCAAUGGAAAACAGGUUAACCUCACUAGUCCAUCAAGUCCCCUGUAUUUCUGACCCUCUGGGAUUCUGUGAUCCUACAAACAGAGAAACCAGCCCUAGUCGAAGCACCGUGACUUCAUUUGGCGCUUGGUUCUCAGCACUGGUGUACAUUAGCAACUACUUCCUGAUCUGUUGCAAUGUCUCCUGUGGGUUUUGUCUCUCUGUUAGACCCAUAAGCUCUCCAAGGGCAGAGACUGUCUUCACCUCCAGUAAUCCUUCUCCCAACUCAGUGCUUAGAAGCAAGGGGCCUUAGAGAGAAUUGCAGGUUGUCGGCAGAAACCAAGAGACCUGGAUGGCAGCUGAAUCCCAUUCCCUGGGCUCCGGUGUUUCUAUUUCCAUCCUCACAUGCUCAUUAUCUACAACCACUCACCACCAGGCUGGCCUUCUGGCCAUAAAAGGUUAAACGACUACUAGUAAUGACUUCACCUCUCAGCAAGGAGUAACAGCCAGGUAGCAUUGUCUCAUUUCAACCCUUGUCCUGUGCUCCCGUAUACCCACUGCCCAGAGUACCCACCUUCAACUGUGCGUUUGCUCUCUCAGCUCCUCACGAAGACACUCGACCCCUUUCUAGCUGCUGCCACUUCAGAGCAAGAAACUCUAAGCUGCUAUUUCAUCAUGCACGGAUGUGAGACUUGGACCAUGAAGAAGGCUGAGCACCAAAGAACUGAUGCUUUCAAAUUGUGGUCCUGGAGAAGACUUUUGGACUGCAAGUAGAUCAAACCAGUCAAUCCUAAAGGAAAUCAACCCUGAAUAUUCAUUGGAAGGACUGAUGCUGAAGCUGUAGCUCCAAUACUCUGGCCACCUGAUGCAAACAGCCAACUUAUUGAAAAAGACCCUGUUACUGGGAAGGACAGAAGGCAAAAGAAGGAGGUGGAAGAGGAUGGUUAGGUGGUUAGAUGGCGUAACAGACUCAAUGGACAUGAAUUUGAGCCAACUCUGGGAUAUAGUGAAGGACAGGGAAGCCCGGCAUACUGCAGUUCAUGGAGUCACAAAGAGUUGGACACAACUUAGUGUCUGAACAACCACAGAAGUAGGAAGAAAUCUGAAAGAACUAGGUGGUACGAGAUGACGGAAGGUCCCUGUGGCAUUCUAUUACUAAUCCACAAGAUUUUCUGUCCCUCCCUUCCCUCUUGAAGGCAGUCUUGGUUUGGCUGACUGUUCUGACCAGCAAAAUAUAAGAAGUAAAACACAUCACUUUCUAGUGGAGACUUCAAGACCAGCAGGAACUUUGCUAUGCUCCUUGACAUCAAGCCACAGGUUGUGCUUUUUUCCCUCCAAUUGACACAAGACAACCUGCAGCUCCCUGGAGUCGCUCCUCUGGCAGCCUAGGGCCCUGGCUGACGGUCCCCAACUGAAAAUGACAACACAAGUGGAGCCCCACUC
ensembl:lncRNA